rnacentral:rRNA from 1 species
AGGAUUCUCCUAGUAAAGGCGAUUGAACGGAGAUUAGCCCAAUGUCGAAGGUUGGAUGCUUUUGUAUCCUGACCAAUGUGACAUAAAGACGUGUAGCUUUGGAACCCUUUUCACUGAAAGUCCAACUCCGAUUACGGCUGUUGAACGUGUCCAAAGCGGGUGAAAGACCCGUUUUAGUGAAAUUGUGCGUCCAGUCGUCUAUGCGUCGACGAGUCGGAUUGCUUGAGAAUGCAGUCCAAAGUGGGUGGUAAACUCCAUCCAAGGCUAAAUACUGGCGCGAGUCCGAUAGUAGACAAGUACCGUGAGGGAAAGUUGAAAAGUACUCUGAAGAGAGAGUAAAUAGUACGUGAAACCGGUUGCAGGGAAGCUGGUGGAGUCAAGCUUCUUGCUUGUGGGACUCUGAGCUCGUCCUUGUUGUGUAAUUGCAUUUGGUCGUUCCAUGUGAAAACCAUGGGCCAUAACUUUGUGGUACGAGUGCUACAGGGAAGUGGCAUUGUCAGUGACCGUUUGCUUUGGACGAGUUCAGUUAUCCUGCUUGCAUACGGCACAGUGGAUAUGUGCGGUUGUGAUGGUUGACUAACUGUUCCAUGGUGGGUUUCGUGCCUAUCGGGUUCAGAAUGGCAGUAGGUGACAGUGCUCUCGGGCAUCUGUUGCUUAUACUGGCUUCGGCCUGCUGUUGACCAUUGGCGACUGCGGUAUUCUGUCUGUUUCGUUGGGCCCGUUGCAAGACUGGUCCAAUGUAAGAACUGUGUCGCUGAAGUAGACCUUCCACCCGACCCGUCUGACACACGGGAACACACGGAACCAGCCGGGAACAGAGGAAUACCGCAGUCGCCCAAUGGUCAACAGCACGGCCGAAAGCCAGUAAUAAGCCACAAGAUGCCAGAGAGCAGUGAUCACCUAGCUGUCUUUCUGAAUCGGGAUCGGCACGACACCCGACAAUGUAGUAAUCAGUCAACCAUCCACAACCGCGCAUAU